CCUACGGGUGGCUGCAGUGGGGAAUAUUGGACAAUGGGCGAAAGCCUGAUCCAGCCAUGCCGCGUGUGUGAAGAAGGCCUUCGGGUUGUAAAGCACUUUCAGUGGGGAAGAAAGCCUUGGGGCUAAUACCCUCGAGGAAGGACAUCACCCACAGAAGAAGCACCGGCUAACUCCGUGCCAACAGCCGCGGUAAUACGGAGGGUGCGAGCGUUAAUCGGAAUUACUGGGCGUAAAGCGCGCGUAGGCGGUCUGAUAAGCCGGUUGUGAAAGCCCCGGGCUCAACCUGGGAACGGCAUCCGGAACUGUCAGGCUAGAGUGCAGGAGAGGAAGGUAGAAUUCCCGGUGUAGCGGUGAAAUGCGUAGAGAUCGGGAGGAAUACCAGUGGCGAAGGCGGCCUUCUGGACUGACACUGACGCUGAGGUGCGAAAGCGUGGGUAGCAAACAGGAUUAGAUACCCGGGUAGUC
rnacentral:rRNA from 1 species